CGUUAGACAUAGAUAACCGGUGUCGUAAAUGUUUAUCACCCUGUGGAAUAUGGGAUUUCCAAAAAUAAAAAUGUAUAUAUUUUCGUACUAGGAAAACACAUGAACCAACCGUCAAUGAAUCGAAACGGGUAACUGACGAAACUAUUUGAGAGCUAUACGUUACGGCAGAACUAGCACCUGCAGUGACGUAGAACUUCGUUAAGGGACACAGGAUACAACCGUUUGGGUCACGUGAUAACAAGAGGAAGCGACCGACCGAUUAGAGCAGUGGUGAAAUGUAGACGCUGUGGAAGACAAAGAAUCCUCAGAAUCGGUUUUCGUUAGCAACGAUUUAUCGUCGGGUACAAAUAUAAAUUAAAUCACUGCAGUAUAUAUCCACCAUUCCGGCUUUCCUCCUAAAAUAGUGGCACCAGCAGCAGCGUCAGCCUUUUUUUUAUUCUUUUUACUAGUAAACUACAGUUAAUUCAACCAAUUGCGGAGUUUUAUCGCAAAACAUUGCAAUAUAUUAUUAUAUAAUACGACUUUAGCGUUAGCUGUGUCGCGACGACGCCGUUCCCGAGUGUGUUAUGAUAUAGCGCUAUGUAACAUAGUAAAAAUGUUUUUUCUUUGUGGUUUUUUUUUUUUUUUUUUUUUUUUUUUCGUAUAACCCAAUCAAGAAACAUUGCGAUUGUUAAAAAAAUACGUGACGCGAAUACCGAAAACGGCGGCGAUGACGGGUGAAAAUUCGGAUUUUCGUUUUUUCUUUUUUUUUUUUUUUUUUUUUUUUUUUUUCCUAUUCUCCGGUCGCAAAGUACCUACCCGCUGCGUACGCGUUACGCGACUCAAUUCGACUUUCCGCAGCUAUGGUGAAAAAAAAGAAACAAUAAACGAUAUCAUAACUGUGUCGCCAUUUUGGCGGAGAAUGUGAAUAUUAUAUAAAACACAAACGGCUUCGAUCGUAUUGAGCGGUUUCGAUUUCGCGGGGAGACGACACUUGUGUCGUACGUGUCGUAAACCAUAAAACGAUAGAAUAUCAGCUAAUAAUAUUAUUGUUUCAGUACGACAAUCAGCCUUGUUACUAGCUGUUGGAAUAAAUUUUUAAAAUAUUAUGAAAAAUCACCACUACGAACAUAUUAUAAUUUAACUUCGGAAUAGUGCCGGAUAUGUGAGUAUAAUGUGUUUUUAUUUUAAAUUUUCUUUUUUAUUCGCGAACACGCGCAACGACGGUUUUAAUUUUAUUCAAACCAAAAAAAAAAAAAAAAACACUGCUGCUCAAAAAAUGUGCAGCACAUCUCCGUCGUUAUAGUGUCGAAUAAUGUUCUCCCAGAUAACUUGCUGCUGUUACAAUAUUUGAUUGGUUUUUUAAUGAUAAGGAAUCGUACAAAAAAUGUUUUAUCGAAAUAGGUGAAGUGGUUCUCGAGAUUUUCGCUACCAUGAUGCAAACAGACGAUGGAGUCGGGAGUUGGAAGUUUAAUUUUUCUAAAGGCACAUCCUCGACAACAAUUCUUUUUACAUAAUAUAUAUACAUUUUAACCAAGUUGCUUAUUUCCGCGGGUCUGUAAGGGUAUUUAACAUCCGUUGGUUUUCUUUGAAAUCAUAAAAUCUGAGCAUAAAAAUGGUUUGAGAGAGGUUGAAAAUCGCAUCUCCCUGGCUAAAUUUAGGUGGACCUGUAGAGAUGAACAGAUGCGAAAAAACAUCUUGCUUCCGCGACAACACGGCGAAUAUUCAAUUUUACGAUUCCGAUCAUUUCAAUAAAAAAAACUCUCAUUGCCGAGUUUGAACUCUUUUGGUCUUGAGAGUGUCGCUAAAAGUGUCCAAAUAUACCAGGAAAUCAACACGGUGAAAUAG